GGGUUGUGAGGUUAAGCGACUAAGCGUACACGGUGGAUGCCCUGGCAGUCAGAGGCGAUGAAGGGCGUGCUAAUCUGCGAUAAGCGCCGGUAAGGUGAUAUGAACCGUUAUAACCGGCGAUACCCGAAUGGGGAAACCCAGUGUGACUCGUCACACUAUCAUUAACUGAAUCCAUAGGUUAAUGAGGCGAACCGGGGGAACUGAAACAUCUAAGUACCCCGAGGAAAAGAAAUCAACCGAGAUUCCCCCAGUAGCGGCGAGCGAACGGGGAGGAGCCCAGAGCCUGAAUCAGCAUGUGUGUUAGUGGAAGCGUCUGGAAAGGCGCGCGAUACAGGGUGACAGCCCCGUACACAAAAGCGCAUGUGCUGUGAGCUCGAUGAGUAGGGCGGGACACGUGGUAUCCUGUCUGAAUAUGGGGGGACCAUCCUCCAAGGCUAAAUACUCCUGACUGACCGAUAGUGAACCAGUACCGUGAGGGAAAGGCGAAAAGAACCCCGGCGAGGGGAGUGAAAAAGAACCUGAAACCGUGUACGUACAAGCAGUGGGAGCACCCUUUGGGGUGUGACUGCGUACCUUUUGUAUAAUGGGUCAGCGACUUAUAUUCUGUAGCAAGGUUAACCGUAUAGGGGAGCCGGAGGGAAACCGAGUCUUAAUUGGGCGUUAAGUUGCAGGGUAUA
rnacentral:rRNA from 1 species